UGCCAUUUUUUGAACCAGUCAGGUCAUAACUUGCACUCACAGCUGAAAACUGAACAAAUAAAAAGGACACCUCAGUUUCUCCUGCCAUGAGCUGUACAGAGUAGCAAAAGACAAAGUAGGAGUGUAUUGAGAGCUGGAAAGUCAGUGACCACAGUUUGAGAUCAUAGUCCUUCUGCCUUGGUGUUCUCCUGUGGUUUCCCCACAACAGCACUCAACAGCACUCACCGGGACCUGGGCUCAAGUUAAAAUCUGUUUUUCAGACUGCUUUAUCUGUGUAAGGAAGUAUGUGGAGCCAUUUGACUGUUCAUUAGUUGUAAUGAACAAGACCAUGCCCUCCUGAGACCGGUAUCCGCUGUAAGCAGAGUGGGAUGCAGCGCCUUUCCGCACGGAGGCUCUCGGAGCUGCGCUGCCCCAGCAGCAGUGCAGUGACCUGCUGCAAUGUGCUCUACCCACAGCAGAGCAUCACAGCCUCUCAGGCAUGAGGAACGUGGCAGCUGGGCUGCUUGGGAGGCUCUCAGGAAGCAAAGUGCCAUUAUCAAGAUUGAAGUGGAGCUGAGCGGGACCUGCAGCCUCCCAGACGACAUUCAGGGCUUCUGAACUGCAGUGCUUGGAAGAGAAAGCAAGAAAGUGAUGAUUUUGCACUUAGAGACCAGAGCUCCCAAGAACUUUACAAACACAACACAACCCUUUCAACUGGGAGAGGCCCUUGCUGAUCUCCUGUACUGGGGGGAGCGCUGGCUGAACACAAAAAAUCACUGGUACUCCAGAAAGCAAGAUGGGGCUUCUCUGCUGCUCACCUUCUGUUUGGUACCAGCACUGUAACCAGUCUCCACUGGGUGAGAACCACCUGUGGCUGUGCUGGGGGACUGAGCCAAGAGAAGGAGGGAUCUCACAUGGACAUCUCUGGGCACCUUUGAUUCAAACAUGUAAGAGCACUUGGAAGAGAAAGCCACUGCUUUCAUGUUUUCAGCAGGUGGAAAGUCAAAAUAUUUCUUAGAGCAUCUAAG